AUGGAGAGAAUUUUUAUUGGUGAUAUGUGUGACGGUGCUGCUGAUCUAGUUCAGAGCUCGGUUCGUCUGUUGAACAACAUGAAGCGUUUCAAAACUAUGCAAGACUCUCGCUGCAAGCCGUAUGAAGAAAGUGCAAAAGUUGUUAUCAGGCAGAUUGAGCAGGAUGAGGCUGCUGCCACCGACAACAGGGCUGGUGAUGGUACUGAGGCUAAUGUUCCUGAUCACGAAACGAAUGAUGUUGGCUUGGAGCGCGCUGUUGUUGAUAUUGAGCAGGAUGAGGUUGCUGCCACCGACAGCAGGGCUGAUGAUGGUACUGAGGUUAAUGUUUCUGAUCACCAUACGAACGAUGUUGGCUUGGAGCACCCUGUUGUUGAUGAGACCAGUCAUAAUGUUGAGGCUGCUAUUGACUGUGGAGUUAAUGAUCCAUCUACUGAUAAGUGCAAGGGUCCUGUUGUUGGCAACGAGCCUUGUUCGCCCGUUGGUGAUGUUGCUUUGAAUGUUAGCAACAACAAGAUCGAUGAUGUUUCUGUGAAUGCUUCUAAGAUGACUGAUGUUGAGCGUGAGGCUGUCGUUAGUGGUGGAGAUGAUGCUCAUGGUGUUCCAUUGAGUAGUGGGCGCGAUGUUGGUACCAAAGUUGCUGAUGAGGAUGUUGGUGCUGCUAGCAUACUUGAUGCCAAACCGUCUGGUGUUGGUAUUGCUGGGAAUGAAAAUCUUUCUGAUUUUGAAGAUUUGCCACCGGAAAAUUUCCCGCCUGGAGGGCUUGAUUACGGUGAUGCAUUGCAAGAUGCUUCUAGCGUGGAGGAGGUGCCAUCCGAGGGUGACGAUUUACUUCUGUCGAUUUCUUCUGGCCCCUUGAGGCAGGAGGCGCUCGUGUCAUCCCAGGAUUUUCUUUCCACAGACCCUGAAAGCGUAGCGAUAUUGGUGUCCUCUCAAGAUGUGCCAUCGUCAAACACUGAAACUGGAGGCAUAUUGGUCUCAUCACAGGAACUACCGUCGUUGUCAAACACUGAUAGUGCAGAAAGUGGAAAUGUUGUUAAGGUUGAUAUGUUUUUCUUCGCUGUUACGAGGUUGCGCACGAACCGUACGAAAUGUCACAAGCCGAUGUUUCAAAGUAAAGAAUGUGAUGCCAGUGUUGGUUCUAUUGCUAAAGCGUUUGUCCCCACUGGCAUGCUCAACUCAGACAGUGCUGGCGUUGUUUUAUAUUCUCUACGUCAGAAGUACCGAGACGCUGACAAGUUGAUAGUUCCCAGAUGGGUGACGACCAAGAUCCGUGAUGGAAAUAUUGAUUCCAACGUGCUAAAUUGGUUCACGAGAUCGUGUGAGUGGCUGGAUCUUAAUGAGCAUGACUACAGGAUCUUUGGCAGCCAGUUCUCGGAGCUCGAGCGCGUAUCUAUUGAUCUUAGCCAGGGGCGUUCUCCAGAAAAGACAAGGUCUGGUGUUAUUAAGGGGCGGUUGGGAGCUCUGAAAGGUUCUACGGCUGCUUGUGCAGAGAGCCCCUCUACACCCAAGAAUCCCAUUGUGGAAUUGAUAGACAGCGAUGAUGAUGCGUUUGACAAGAUUGCUGGCAUGGGAAGAGUCACCAGGAGCGCUGCUGCUGCCAAGGGUUUAUCCCCACUUGCUGGAAUAGUGUCCCGUAGAGCUGGUGGUGCUAGGAAGGAUCCUGCUUUGGAUUCUGGCAAUGUUACAAGCACGAAGCGUGCACCCAGAGCUCCUAUAAAGUUUUGCUCCCCUGUGCAGCAGCUUCACUCUCAUAAAUUCCCUCACCUGGACAAGGCUCGCAAGUUGUAUAAUCUAUUGCUUAGCGAUGAAGCAUGUGAGAAGUAUGCCGAGAAUACAUUCUCAAUGAUACCUCAGCCCGAUUAUAGCGUAACCAACAUCACUGGGAAACACAUCUGGGAAGUUUUUGCACCUGGGCAAAUGAUGGAGGGUGAUGUAAUGGACUUCCUUAUUGAUGAUUGGAAGAAAGAUCCCGAUAGAAAUGUUGAUUUUGCGUCUGGGAAAAGGGUAUUGCUGAGUCCAUAUUUCAUCACGGUUGUGCUUGACUGUACGUUUUACGGUGCUGAAAAUAAACCGUUUAAUAUCGAGAGUGCAACGAGAGAUUUCAAGAGCUAUGUCAAAGAAAAGGAAGACUUGCUCACUGCCGACCUUAUCAUGAUGCCUCUAUUCAAGCCUAUGGUUUUAGCAAAGGAUAAGAAAGUGAACCACUUUUCCUUAUAUGUCAUGAAUCGGUACCAAAGUAGCGUCGACAUCCUUGACUCUUUACCUUAUCCGAAGAACCAUCGUCCUUCAAAGAACACCUAUCAUAAAGACCGCGAGAAGAUUCCUCGUAUUGUUGAUUGGAAUGCUGAGGAUCUGUAUAGAGUUGUGUUCAACUGGAAUAACCAGCUUCUGGUGACUGAGCUUCCCAAGGAGUUUCAGCCUUUGGCUCCUGGUGCAUAG
rnacentral:rRNA from 1 species